CACUUUGUUUUUUCUUUUUUUCUCUUCAACCUAGCAAAACUUAGAAAAAAGUAGGGUUUCUAUUCUUUUCAUUUCCAGAGCCGCCCACCUCUUUUCCCUUUAUGAACAAAGCCAAUCUCUCUCACUUCUAAAUCAGAAUUUGUAGGCCUAUUUUGGUGAAAGUCUUUAAAAAAUCUUUAUCUCUCAUCUCUAUCACACGAUUUGGUCAAACGAAAAAGCAAAAACUUUUGGAAGAAAUCUGCGUUUUCAGAGAUUUGAUUCUCUAUUCAAACGAUCAUUUUCAUUCUUCAAAUCCCGCCCAAAAACACUUUGGAGCGAACAUAGAGUCUUAAUGCAAGACUCUUCCCGAGCAUGGACCCGGAGUCACUUUCUUUGGACUAUUAUUUUCUCUUGUCUUAACUAUGUAAAAGCCAACAAUAGUGGAAGUAGUUCCCCACCCCCCUACUCUUCCGUGACGCUUGGGGGAAUUAGUAUGGGUUAUAUGCUUUAAUAUUAUGUCACUCUUUGCUACUUGACGCCUAGGAUUCACGUCUAAUUAAUGAAGUAGUUUAAAUCGGUAAUGGAAUUCUAUAAACCUGCUUAAUCGAUAAA